ACACGCAUAAGAACAAACAGUUGGCAAGCACAUACUAUAUGAGUGUAGUCUCAAGGAUUACACCACAAAGAUCUUGAGUAGCUGAUUUCGAUUGGCCUAUGAAUGCAUAAUGGUUUGUAUAUCAUGAAUGCUAUAUCAUGGAAUGUGAUAUAUAGCAUCACAAUUUAUGUACACAAUCUAUUCAUGUGGAGCAAGUAAAUCAAGCACAUAAAUGCUACACUAGAAUUCGUAAUUCACCAACG
rnacentral:lncRNA from 1 species